AUCUUACGUUAGAACGUUUCACGAGUGGCGCGUGCUUGUUUUUGGUUAGAAAACAAUGCCUCGAGUGUAACAUCAAGAGUCUCUUAAGCUAGACGUUAAUUUCACCAAGAAAGAACUUCGAAAAUAAAUUUAAGUUAAACCUCAAAUAUUAAAGAACCGCAAGGUCCCGUUUCACAUAAAGACUUGUAAUACAUCAAAAGAUACAAAACUCUGCCUUAUGUUCAAGUGAGUGACGAGAAGUGUUCUAAGAAAUUGGAUGGUUUUAGAUCGUGAUUGUUACCAGUAUAGAACCGCCAGUCCAUGAAAUAUGUUUAAUAUCUUCGAAUUAUUCUUUUCCUGAUGCCUCAAUAUUUUUCAGUGUGUCAAAACCCAUGGAAAUAAACCGAGUCAGGGUGAUUUCAUAAACAUCUUAAAGACAAGUUUACAUAUUUAUACCCCAGCACGUGCAGAAAGCUCGCGAUCGAUAGUGAAUAUUCACACCACAAAAAGAUACAAUCAGUGGACAUAUGUUCCCUUUAAGAACCUUCACAAGAAAUAUUUCUCAUUCUUGCACUCCACCUCCCACCCCCAAGUGGCUCAGUGGUUAAUUAAAUCUGGAGGCUUACGACGCUAAAAAUCGGGUUUCGAUACCCGCGGCGGGCAAAACAAAGUUACCUAACUGUGCCUAACAACAAGCAGCUACUCAACUAUUUUUUACUCUCUAUAAUUUCAGCAUGACAGUUUCUGAGCUUGAACUAGCCAUUUUAAAAUGUAAAUCAACACAAUCCGAAAUGGGAUAUUUACUAUCUACAUCCGGUGGCCACAACUUCUACAUGUCUGUCCGACAGUGUAUGAGAUUUUCUGCAUCGUUUCCUGGGAUCAGCAGAUUCACCCCUUUUUGAUGUAUUUACACAAUGGUGUCGACGGUUUUACAUCAGCGCCACCUAUUCAAGGAUAUAGAGCAUGAAUGAACAAAGUGGAGCAGCAGAAAAUGGAGUGGAAACUUGUACUCGAUAAGAAAUAAAACCGGCCCUAAAUAUA